AGGGUUUCGGCCGAAAAUGAAGCAUCAAAUUGCUCGGUUUUGAGAGCAAAUCGAGGGAAACCAAUAAGGGGCUUUCGAUACUUGAGGGAAGAGGAUCAUUUCUGGAGAUUUUGGGAAUUUUUGGAGUGGUGUAGGGGUGUUUUUGCAUUUGGCCGAAUGUAUAUAUAUAUAUAUCGAGUGAAGAUGAAAUCGGGUUGUAGAGUGAUCGAUCGAGCGAUCUAAUAAGGGGCUUUUGUUCGCAAGGUGAUGGGUAACUGAUCUGGAAAGUUUCGUGCCAAUCGGAGUUCGAAUCGAGGGUCAAUUUGAUUCGCCGGAGUUCGGUGGCGGGAUAGCUUCGACCGACUGUUUUUGGCCAAAUCGGAAGGCUUACGGUGGUCUUUUCCGAGCAAUAUUGGUACCAUUGGGAUCAACUAAGUGAGAGGAAUAGCCUGGUGUCGUCGCUUCAAUUUUCCGGUGUGCCGUCGCCGGAGAAGAUGACCGGAGGGUGCUUUGAGGGUUGAGACGAAGUGACUCGUGCGAAGAUCGAAGAAGGCACGCAAAUCGAGGCAGGCACGCAAAUCGAGGCGUAUCGAAAUAUCGCCAAAGGUGAAAGCGGUGGCGCCAAGGGAAAGAAUAUCAUCGAGAUGUAGCGGCUAUGUUUAGUUUUUCGUAGGUUUUGUCCAUGAUUACGAUGUUCAGAGGUUAUGUAAUAUUUUGAUAUUUUCAUGUGAAACAUCGAUUCGGUUAUUGUAAAGGAAUUGUCGGUUAUAUAUCAUUGAGGUUUCGAUCUUGCUUCCGCUGAUGUGAUUGUUGAUACCUGUCUUAGUUUAUUAUUAAAUUUUGAUAUGCUAAGAAGGUAC